ensembl:rRNA 5S_rRNA 5S ribosomal RNA
UUCAGCCAUAUCACCCUGCAACUCACAACUGGCAACCCACUGAAGCUAAGCAGGUGUGAGCCUGGUCAGUCCCUGGAUGGGAGACCUCCUGGGAGAAACUAAGGUUGCUGCUGGAA